rnacentral:rRNA from 1 species
CAACGCGAACCUUAUUUACCCGCGCCAGCGCUGCGGCCUGGGGCGCAUUGAUUUGUGCCCCGGGGGCCACUGCAAGGUGGCUGCCCCCGCUCCCUGGUUGCGUCCUUCACACCCGUGUUUUUCAACACACAAAACCUAAAUCUAAGAUUAAUGAUUUGCCUUAACGGCAGUCAAUAACCAAGACAACUCUCAACAACGGAUAUCUUGGCUCUCGCAACGAUGAAGAACGCAGCGAAAUGCGAUACGUAGUGUGAAUUGCAGAAUUCCGUGAACCAUCGAAUCUUUGAACGCAUAUUGCGCCGAAGGCUUCGGCCAACGGCAUGUCUGCCUCAGCGUCGGUUUAUCCCCUCACCCCACCAUCCCUCGGGAUGGAGCGUCUGCUAAUACUGCGGGCCUUGGAGUGGAUCUGGCUCUCCCAAUUGCAAGCAAUUGGGUUGGCUGAAGCACAGAGGCUUGAGCAUGGACCCGUUAUGGGCUCAACUGGAUAGGUAGCACCGGGGCUUUGCGCACCGACUACACGAAGUUGACGCCUGUGGACCUUGCUGGAGGCCAGCAGGAAACCCUGUAAAGGGCAACCAAACCUUCGACCUGAGCUCAGGCAAGAACACCCGCUGAACUUAAGCAUAUCAAUAAGCGGAGGAAAA